rnacentral:tRNA from 1 species
GGUCUCGUAGUGUAGCGGUUAUCACCGUGGACUCUGACUCCACUAACCCAGGUUCGAAUCCUGGCGGGACCUU